rnacentral:tRNA from 1 species
GCCUUCAUGGUGUAGUGGUCAGCACGCUCGACUCGACGCGUAACUGAGAUGUCCGUGGUUCGAUUCCCGGCCAAGGUU